AUUAUUUUCUAGGCAAUUACUUUUCUAACUUUCAAGCACAUGACUCCUUAUUCCGCGAAAUUGAGUAAUUUCAAUUCCCAUGGGUGAGCUGAUUUUUCGUUUUCUAGGCAAUUGAAAGACACCGACUUUCCUUUCUCUUUCUUCUCACGCCUGCCUCCCCCCCCACUUUCCCUUUAUGUUUCUUCUCAUGCCAUUACGUCUCACAUUAUCUCUUCCCACCCUCUCCAUCCCAUCAAUAGCCACAAAAUCAAAGGAGAGGAGUAUGUCGAUUGUAGCCGGUUAACACACAAGCUCCCGAAAGUGGAAAGCCAACAAGAAACCCCAAUUUCAUAUCUAGGGAUUGCCGGUUCAGGUUCACUCGUUUGCCUAUUUCUCUCUGCUUGUGAGCGUGAGUAGAUGCACGUAUAUAAGGAAGCAAUCAUUCAGAAACAAUAAGGGGAAUAAUUACAUAAUCAAGACAAAUAUAUACUGUAGAUAUAUUCUUGUGCACUGGCUCGCAUACAAUGCAUAGAUCAGUUUAACUUCAUUCACCACUCCCCCACAUAAAGCUGUGUACUUUUAUGAUCUUUUUAUAGUCUUCUUUUACAAUGUUCUUUUAUUCAGAUCUUUAAAAACGCUUCCUUUGUGAAAUUUUUUAUUUAGAUGUUGGUUUUUGUGUUUGUUUUUGUUGCUUCUUGGUUAGUGUGGUGUCUAUACAAAUUGUAUAUUGACUGAGGAUUGGUAUUAUUUAUUAUUUAGAUGGACAGUGACUUUUUGGGAGAUUGAUGUCCUAACAUAAAAGUAUUAUCACUAAUGAUGUGCAAGAACUAAAGUAUUAGUUUUUAAUAUAGGUGCUUCUUACUCUCUGGAAUGACGUAAUAAAAAUAUCAGUAUUGACUCUUUGAUUUUGGGUAGAAGAGAAAAGAGUGAACUUUGUGGAGAAUCAUUGAGUUUUCGUGAAGAAGUACUGAGUUUAUUGUUAGGUGGUCUUAGAUCUUAGGAUUGGAUUCUCCCUAUAUUGUAUAAAAAAUCACCUGGUAUGCUUCUCAACUUGACCAUAGAUUUAGAAUCUUUACUUCUAAUCCAGAGGCAUAACACUGUGCACAUUGCUGAAAUUGUAUGUACCAAUCACGCUUUCGUUUUUUGUUCAUUGUCAACAAUAAUUUACAUCAUAUUGACACCUUUUAGAUGUUUUUCUAAGCACCAUGGCUAUCACAAGGAACCAACGGCGACAAUUUUUUCUAUUUUGGAUUAUGGUUAUGCAAGCAAUUGUAAUAUAUAAUAGUGUCAGGCGUUGUAAUCGAAAACUUCCUAUAGCCCCACAUAGAAACUGGAAUUCUAAAAGAGAAAUGAUACUUACACGGAUGUUUGGUACGAGUGAUAGAAUUUAUCAUGAUCUACUGAGGAUAAAGAUAUCCCCAUUUCAAAGAUUAUGUGCUCUUUUACAUACGUAAGAUUUGGUGGACAAUAGAUCUGUCGAAGUAGAGGAACAAGUGGCUAUAUUUCUCAGCACCUGUGAACAUGACCACUGUAAUCAAACUAGAAGUUUUACAUUCUUCAGAUCUGGUCAAACAGUGAGUUACUACUUCCACCAAGUCUUACAAGCUUGUCUUGGAUUAUACAGAGAUGUUGUGAGCAAUGCCACUAUUCAUAACUCAUCGAACGAGAAGGAUAAUGUGAAGUCAUGGUUCCAAUAUUUUCAGGUCAGGUGGUAAUAUUUAACUUCAUUUAUUUUUCAUUCACUAUCGCUAUUCCUUUUGUAACCAAACUUUUGGUUUUCAUAUUAGGACGCGGUGGGGGCAAUCGAUAAUACUCACAUUCUAGCAAAUGUCCCCGUAGAGGAACAAGCGAGAUAUCACAAUAGAAUGCAAAUGAUAACUCAGAAUGUUUUGAUUGCUUGUACAUUUGAUAUGAAGUUUACGUAUGUGCUUGCCGGUUGGGAGAGAUCCUCACAUGAAGGUUGGUUGUUAAGGAGUACAAUUUUACGACAAGGUCAUAAGCUAACAAUUCCUAUAAGUAAUAUCUAUUUCUUGUUCGAUAAUUUGUCUUUCAGCUCUUUCAAUAACAAACUUCACCUUAACAACCAUGUGUAGAAUAGGUACAUGUUAUCUUGUCGAUGCCAGAUUUCCAUUGGUUCUAGGAUUUCUAGCACCCUACCGUCAGACUCAGUACCAUCGUAGAGACAUUGAGGGACAUCGGCCUAAAAGCAAGAAAGAGCUAUUUAAUUUUCUACAUUCAUGUCUACGAAAUGUUAUAGAGAUGAUUAUUGGUCUGUCUAAAAAAAAUUCGCAUAUCUGAAACAUCAACCAUACCACGACAUUGAGAGACAAGGAUUGUCCUUGCUUGUUGUGUCAUUCACAACUUCUUAAGAAUUCAUGACGCAUAGGAUUUUCGUGACAAGGACUAUUGUAGUAGCGAUGAUGAGGUUAACCCUGAAGAUGAACUCGAAGAUGACACACUAAAUGCUCCUAUAUCAUUCUCUACAUGGUCCAGGAAUAGGGAUACGAUGGCUGAUGACAUGUGGGCUGCUUACCAUCCAAGUCAUGAUGCAGGAAUUGACUUCGAUUGAAUCUACCAUGUUUAUUUCAUUAUUUGUGUUUUUCCUGUAAUUUUAGGAGAAAAACGUGCUAGUGUUCUUGUCUCGUUCCAAGGUUUCUUCUAUACAUGUCCUAUUGUAACAAUGUCUUCGAUACUUCUUUUGUUGUAAUGUUGUAUUAUUUCCAAGGCUAUGUACAUUUGCAUCUAUGAUAUAGUGGCAAAUCUCUUUGCUAGGAAUAACAUAUAUCGUUGUUAGAUUGUAUUCAAGCAAUACUGUUGUUCCUUCUAGUUAUGCUAAUAUUGACCUUUUUUUUUCAAGUGAUAGCGUUGAUGGCACUCAAUCGACUAAGCUCUACAGCCCUUUUCGACUUGUCCGAACACCUGGCUUUACUUCGGACGAGCAUGGCAUCGACUUUGGUGGAUCGCAAGUGGAUCCUGAUGCUAGGACUCGUCAUAUACGUUAGAGUGAUGAAAUUGAUAGUUUUAUGAUCACUGCACUUGUUGAACAAGUGUUGGUUGGGCACAAAUGAAGUGACAAUGACUUCACUUCAUUUCAAGUGUCUAAGGCAAUUAACAAGGUUGUCAAUGGGUGUGGGGUAAUGGUCUCAUAUAAGAAUGUGAGGGCAAGGUUGAAGACUCUUAAAAGAGAGUAUGCUGAAGUUCGCCAAUUGCUUAAUAUGAGCAGAUUUGGCUUGAAUACCGAAACUAGACGCGAUAUGAGUUGGAGUCGAUGUCGUUGCUUGGGAUGACUUUAUUAAGGUACAAAUUAGGAUGCAUCUCUCACAUCGCUAUUAAUAGCUAAUGGAUAUAUACCAUUAGGCCUGGGACAAUUUAUACACUUACAGGGUCAUUUUGCAGUGGAAGCCAGAAUCUGGAAAGUGGAGGACCAAACUUUGUCCAAGAUAUGAUGAGAUGGAGAUUAUAUUCGGCAAUGAUAUAGCCACUGGAGAUUGCGCAGUGUCUGGCUUCGACCAUUUCUCCCCAGUGAUGGUUAUGCAAUAUAUAUUUACAAUACGAUACUUUGAUUAUAUUCAUGUAUGAACGUCUAAAAAGUUAUCUCUUUUAUGUAGUAAUUGAUGAAAGUAUGAAUGAGGUAAAUAUGAAAAAUUUGGAGAUGGAUCCCAGCCCAGUUCGUGCUCGUAAGCGUACCGUCGAAGAAGGAACCUACAAAGUCAAGCGUCGAAGUGCACAACCAAUAGAUGAGAGUACUUCGCCCUAUUGAGGAUUGCCGAUUCAUCUACAAAAAUUGCUCAAGCUAUGGAAAUGCAAGCUACGCUAGAUACACUGAGUCAUGUCAACUGGUAGUUGAUUCUAGAGAAGCUAGAAGCCAUGAACCUAGAAAUGGACGAUAUUAUACAAGUCAUGAAAGUGUUUCGAUCCGAUGAUGGUUUGGCUAAGGUAUUUAUGAACUUGACGAGUACAAAAUAAAAGCGUGCUUUGGUGUUUGAUAAGCUUAGUCGUGAUUCACCUUCACUACCUUAGCUUGCACAUGACUUAUGGCAUUAGUAUGUAUUAACUUGUAUGUAUUUGGAAAACUUAAUCCACAUAAGUAGAACUUUGAAUUAUUUUUUGUAACGUAGUCACGUAACAAAUAGUGUGAAGUGUUUUAUAACAUAUUGUGUGGAUGUGUUUUGUCUGUAUGUGGGAAACAUUAGUCCACCUAAAUUUUUUUUGGUAACACACACAAGUAACUAGUGUACAGUGUUUUGUAACACUUGAUGAUACUUGCAUAUGAUAAUAACUAGUGUGCAGUGUUUUGUAACGUAUGAUGAUAACAUAUGUGGAAAACAUUAGUUUUUGUUAUACAUACAUGCUAAAUUGUAAACCCAUUAACAGCGGUAAUUAUUUCAAGUGAAGCAUUUAUGAUACUUGCAUGGUCUCCUGUAAUUUGUUUUUUGCUGUUGGAAGGAUGACUUCCAUCUUGUGAUAGCUUCAUUGUCAAUUUCUAUGUAUACA
rnacentral:lncRNA from 1 species